UAAUACGGAGGAUCCCAGCCGCCGCGGUAAUACGGAGGAUCCCAGCAGCCGCGGUAAUACGGAGGAUGCGAGCGUUAUCCGGAUUUAUUGGGUUUAAAGGGUGCGCAGGCGGAUUUUUAAGUCAGCGGUCAAAUCGUGGGGCUCAACCCCAUCCAGCCGUUGAAACUGGGGAUCUAGAGUGUGCGAGAGGUAUGCGGAAUGCGUGGUGUAGCGGUGAAAUGCAUAGAUAUCACGCAGAACCCCGAUUGCGAAGGCAGCAUACCGGUGCACAACUGACGCUCAGGCACGAAAGCGUGGGUAUCGAACAGGAUUAGAUACCCUGGUAGUCCACGCAGUAAACGAUGAUCACUAGCUGUUUGCGAUACACAGUAAGCGGCACAGCGAAAGCGUUAAGUGAUCCACCUGGGGAGUACGCCGGCAACGGUGAAACUCAAAGGAAUUGACGGGGGCCCGCACAAGCGGAGGAACAUGUGGUUUAAUUCGAUGAUACGCGAGGAACCUUACCCGGGCUCGAACGGCAGCUGAAUAUGCCAGAGAUGGCAUAGUCUUCGGACAGUUGUCGAGGUGCUGCAUGGUUGUCGUCAGCUCGUGCCGUGAGGUGUCGGCUUAAGUGCCAUAACGAAGCGCAACCCUUGCCGUCAGUUGCCAUCAAGGCGCAACCCUUGCCGUCAGUUGCCAUCAAGUAGUGUUGGGGACUCUGGUGGGACUGCCAGCGUAAGCUGCGAGGAAGGCGGGGAUGACGUCAAAUCAGCACGGCCCUUACAUCCGGGGCGACACACGUGUUACAAUGGCGUGGACAAAGGGAAGCCACCUGGCGACAGGGAGCGAAUCCCCAAACCACGUCUCAGUUCGGACCGGAGUCUGCAACCCGACUCCGUGAAGCUGGAUUCGCUAGUAAUCGCGCAUCAGCCAUGGCGCGGUGAAUACGUUCCCGGGCCUUGCACACACCGCCCGU
rnacentral:rRNA from 1 species